rnacentral:rRNA from 1 species
UACGUAGGGGGCAAGCGUUGUCCGGAAUCAUUGGGCGUAAAGGGCGCGUAGGUGGCCCGGUCAGUCUUUGGUGAAAGCUCGUCGCUCAACGACGAGUCGGCCACCGAUACUGGGUUGCUCGAGCACUGUAGAGGCAGAUGGAAUUCCGGGUGUAGCGGUGGAAUGCGUAGAGAUCCGGAAGAACACCGGUGGCGAAGGCGGUCUGCUGGGCAGUAGCUGACACUGAGGCGCGACAGCGUGGGGAGCGAACAGG